UACGAAGGGUCCAAGCGUUAUCCGGAUUUAUUGGGUUUAAAGGGUGCGUAGGCGGGUUGUUAAGUCAGUGGUGAAAUCUCUGAGCUUAACUCAGAACGGCCAAGUGAUACUGCUGUGCUAGAGUGCAGAAGGGGCAAUCGGAAUUCCUGGUGUAGCGGUGAAAUGCGCAGAUAUCAGGAGGAACACCGGUGGCGAAGGCGGGUCUCUGGGCCGAUACUGACGCUGAGGAGCGAAAGCGUGGGGAGCGAACAGG
rnacentral:rRNA from 1 species